UACGAAGGGUGCAAGCGUUGCUCGGAAUUAUUGGGCGUAAAGGGUAGGUAGGUGGUAAUAUAAGUCUGGGGUGAAAUCCCUGAGCUCAACUCAGGACGUGCCUUGGAAACUUUAUUACUAGAGUGCUGGAGAGGUCCGCAGAAUUCCCGGUGUAGCGGUGAAAUGCGUAGAGAUCGGGAGGAAUACCAGAGGCGAAGGCGGCGGACUGGACAGCAACUGACACUCAACUACGAAAGCGUGGGUAGCAAACAGG
rnacentral:rRNA from 1 species